UACAGAGGUCUCAAGCGUUGUUCGGAUUUAUUGGGCGUAAAGGGCGCGUAGGCGGCGGGGUAAGUCGGGUGUGAAAUCUCAGGGCUCAACCCUGAAACUGCACUUGAUACUGCUCUGCUUGAGGACUGGAGAGGAGACUGGAAUUCACGGUGUAGCAGUGAAAUGCGUAGAUAUCGUGAGGAAGACCAGUGGCGAAGGCGGGUCUCUGGACAGUUCCUGACGCUGAGGCGCGAAAGCGUGGGGAGCGAACAGG
rnacentral:rRNA from 1 species